UCUCCGUAGGUGAACCUGCGGAGGGAUCAUUACUGAGUGAGGGGCUCCGGCCCCAGACCUCCAACCCAUUGUUAUCCGACACUGUUGCCUCGGGGGCGACCCGGCGCUUCGGCGCCAGGGGGUCCCCGCUGGUCCACACAACUCUGCAUCUUUGCGUCUGAGUAAACAUUAAAUGAAACAAAACUUUCAACAACGGAUCUCUUGGUUCUGGCAUCGAUGAAGAACGCAGC
rnacentral:misc_RNA from 1 species